rnacentral:rRNA from 1 species
CUAUUGGUGUGAUAAUUAUCUACGCCGUGGAUGUGAAGCAGCUUUAUGAAGUUCAGCUUCUAACCGUCCAUUUAUUUGGACAAUUUUUGACAAUUUGACCUCAAAUCAGGUAGGACUACCCGCUGAACUUAAGCAUAUCAAUAAGCGGAGGAAAAGAAACUAACAAGGAUUCCCCUAGUAACUGCGAGUGAAGCGGGAAAAGUCAAUUUAAAUCUGGCAUCUGGGCUCCAGUGG